UCUGUCUAAAUCCAAAGCCAGUCGGUACGCGCUGUACCGCAUGGCCCGGUUUGUUGCGGGACAGGCGAUACUUAAUGAGUUGCCGAGGCAGCCAAGCAAAUGCGCAUAGCACCGAGGUGGUAAAGUGACGGCAAACGUGACGGUUGCGGUUAGUUAAGGUACAUACGUACGUAUGGUGUGAUGGGACAGCGGCGAAGUAGAGGAUAAGUAAAAUGAAAUGAGAUGAGUAGCUAAUACAUUUCAACAGCGGUGAACUUCAAAGACAGCUUAGCUACAUAAAAUCAUUGGAGCAAAACGACAAAACGAAUUAGCAGCAAACCACAUAAAAGCUCGUUGCUUUGGCAUGACGUGCACGAAUUGACUGAUGCAGAAAGUUCUGGUGGUUUGAGUCGUUAAGGAGAGAUGAGCUAAUUUCUUCGAAUUCACCAAACAAUCAAACUAUAAAUUACGCUGUGUGACAAUGAUCCAGCACUUUUA